UACGUAGGGUGCAAGCGUUAAUCGGAAUUACUGGCGUAAAGCGUGCGCAGGCGGUGAUGUAGAACAGAUGUGAAAUCCCCGGGCUCAACCUGGGAACUGCAUUUGUGACUGCAUCGCUGGAGUACGGCAGAGGGGGAUGGAAUUCCGCGUGUAGCAGUGAAAUGCGUAGAUAUGCGGAGGAACACCGAUGGCGAAGGCAAUCCCCUGGGCCUGUACUGACGCUCAUGCACGAAAGCGUGGGGAGCAAACAGG
rnacentral:rRNA from 1 species